CCCUUCAGUCACUCCUUCCAGCUUCAAGAUGAUGAUCAAACUGUUUGUUCUGCUUACAGUGAUCUGUCUGCCUUGUUUAAACAGCCAGUCUCUGGAGUCCAUUCCUUCCACCUCAGUGGUGAAAAGGCCUCAGGAUGUUCUGACUCUGUCCUGCAGAGGAUCUGGAUUUGAUUUCUCUCGAUAUGGAAUGAACUGGAUCAGAAAACCUGAGGGAAAAACACUAGAAUGGAUGGGCGCAAUUUGGUAUGAUUCAAGUAAAACAGAGUAUGCCAGCAGUGUUGAAGGACGCAUUGAAAUCACCAGAGACAACAGUAUUAGCAUGACAUAUCUGAAACUGUCCAACCUGAAACCAGAGGACUCUGCUGUGUAUUACUGUGCUGGAGCCUCACAGUGGCUAAUGUGAGCACAGAGGCUGUACAAAA